rnacentral:rRNA from 1 species
AUGUGUGAGGGCAUCAGUCACUCUCAUGCCGGCAUGCCGCACUUUCAGCUAGCAGGUGAAAGAGACCCUCUUAUGGGAAUAAUGGAGUACAGAAAUGAUAGUGAGUUCAAAGUAAGGCUGAGAGGGAGUAAUGGGCGAGGAGAUGAACCUAGGAGAGCAAAAUUGAGAACUCCAGCUAAAGCAGCUCCUGCCCAGCGGCGAGGACUUCAGCGGCAGCAGCACCUGUGCAUGGGGAGGAACAGCCCCUGGGCGCGUAGGCAGCAGCUCGCCUCCACUAGCGGGCGGCAGCAGAGCACCAGCUCGCCUCCACCAGCGGCCGGCAGUAGAUCAGCACCUCGUCUCCACCAGCGGGCGGCAGCAGAGCACCACCUGGGCGCGCGGGGGCCGGGAGGAGCCCCUGGCGUGGGAGAGGAGCGCGGGGGUGGAGGGCAGGUGGCGGAGCCGCGGAGGCGGAGGUGGAGUGCCGGGACGGAGGUGGAGGGCGGGUGGCAGAACCGCGGAGGCGGAGGUGGAGUGCCGGGGCGGAGGCGGAGGUGGAAGACGCUGAGGAAGAUGACGGACAGAUUCAAAGUUUGA